UUGCGCUUUAACACAUCUGUUUAUGUUACUGUAUUCAUUUAUAGCAAAGACUGGCUCUGCUUCUUGUAGAAUGUUCUGUAUCCGAUGAGUAGUAUAUAUCAUAUUUGCAUGCGUAGAUGUUGCAGCUGGGAGAGUUAACGCAGUCGAUUUCUUGCUCAGAGGCAAGACUUCCUUCAGAGUACUUUUCUCUUGGCAAGAGCAUUCCAAGAUUAUAAGAGACUCAAACUCAAUUCCAAUUGAACUCGUUGAGUCCUUAACUACAUUCAAGUGAUGAAUUUGUUCAAGAUGAGGUGCCGCCCUUCUGGGAAAACGAUCUUCAGAGUAUUAUUCAGAUGGGUUUCGAGAGAUAGUCAGCAACAGAGCAACAACUGUUCGGAACUUGUGAAAAUUGAGCCAAACAAAUGGUGAACGAAGAACGGUACGGAGUUAUUAAUAGUCUCUGGAAGUAAU
rnacentral:misc_RNA from 1 species